AAACAUCGCCUCCCGCAAAACCCGAAGUAUAGGAGGUCCUGCCUGCCCAGUGACUAUUUGUUCAACGGCCGCGGUAUCUUGACCGUGCUAAGGUAGCGAAAUCACUUGUCUUUUAAAUAAAGACCUGUAUGAAUGGUGAAACGAGGGCUUAACUGUCUCCUUUUUUAGGUCAGUGAAAUUGAUCUGCCCGUGCAGAAGCGGACAUAAAAAUACAAGACGAGAAGACCCUUUGGAGCUUUAGACAUGUGAUCAGUCUUCGGUUGGGGCGACCACGGGGGAAAGCCAAGCCCCCAUGUAGAAUGUAAAACCAAGAAACACAUUUCUAAGUCACAGAACUUCUGACUCCGAUUAGCGAACCAAGUUACCCCAGGGAUAACAGCGCAAUCCCCUCCAAGAGCCCGUAUCAACAAGGGGGUUUACGACCUCGAUGUUGGAUCAGGACAUCCUAAUGGUGCAGCCGCUAUUAAGGGUUCGUUUGUUCAACGAUUAAAGUCCUACGUGAU
rnacentral:rRNA from 1 species